rnacentral:rRNA from 1 species
UACGAGGGGGGCGAGCGUUGUUCGGAAUUAUUGGGCGUAAAGGGUGCGUAGGCGGUUUGGUAAGUCUCUUGUGAAAUCUAUGGGCUCAACUCAUAGUCUGCAAGGGAAACUGCCGGGCUUGAGUGUGGGAGAGGUGAGUGGAAUUUCCGGUGUAACGGUGAAAUGCGUAGAUAUCGGAAGGAACACCUGUGGCGAAAGCGGCUCACUGGACCACAACUGACGCUGAUGCACGAAAGCUAGGGGAGCAAACAGG